ensembl:lncRNA
GUUGUUAGUGGAUCUUGGGGGGUGGGGGGGAAGAAAAGUAAGACAGUUGAGUGAGUUUUUCAUAAAACUACAUACUUAAGAUAAAGGAUUGUCCUUUAUUCUGAGACUCUUAUUUUUGGAAUAAACAUUUAACUCUUUGGAAACUUGUCUAUUUUCAUAUUAUUAGGAAAUCAAAAGGCGUUCUAUGUUGAUGCCUAAAAUGGGGGAGGGGGUAUUUAUUAUAAAAUCCACAGGCGAACCUAACUUGACAGUUCCUCGUUGACCCCUGCAGCGUGGCGUCCCGAGGUCCGUCCGCCUCGAUCCAGCGUGUUCCCCGAGGGAGGAGAGGCUCCCUCCCUCCUAGUGGGGAAGUAUGACCCUGCCAAAGGAAACAAAUCCUGAGUCAUGAAUGCCUCCUGGUUGCUGCCUCCGCAUGGCUAAUGAGUGGUAUAGGUCCACACCCGGGAUCUGCACCCUCGAACCCAGGCUGCCAAAGUGGAACAUGCCAAACUUAACUACUACGCCACAGGGCCAGCCCAUGACAGGCAAUGGAGACUUCUCUUUAAAUUCACCGAAACGUAGCAGCGGUUCCCAGAUCUGGGAAGCAGCAGCAUGCUGGACGCCGGGACCAGGAGCAAGCCAGCACUGCUCCCUUCCGAGAACCUAGAACCAUGGGUGAGAGCGCGAGGCUGCGCGAAGAGGAGUUUAGAAAAGCGAGCAGCUGCGGGCCAAGGAGGAGCCACAGAGACCUGGGGACUUGGAUGGCCCCAGACUGACUAGACACCAGGGGUCCCUGCUUGCAUGUCAAAGACUGACCCCAUCCUCUACCUGGGGCUGUAUAAGCCUUUGGGUUUGGGGACAAUUAAGGAGUGAAGGAGCCCCAUGGAGGAGAUACUGAGCUUCCUGCUCAUCAGGCAAAUGGGGAAUUAAGCCAGUUUUCUUUAUGGGAGAAAAUGUAAAAAGACAGGAUCAUCUUGCACCCUCUCUUUGUGGGGCAGUUCAUCCUACUGACUCAGGUAUCACCCGGACUCUGAGAUAUCUUUGCACUGGGGUAACAUCUCCCGCCUUAGCAGCAACUUCUAGAACCUGUGCUCCAACCAACCUGGGCUGCCUCCUUUCUCCAACUGCCCCUUGGCCUUCUGCCUCUGGGGCUUUGCUCUUACUGCCCCCUGGCCUCCAGUGCCUUCCCUUCCCACCCGUAAUCAUUAAACUCCUACUCAUUCUUUACGACCUAAUUCUAGUGUGACUUGCGACAUGAUGCCUCUCUGAUCACUUCACCCAGAAGCCAUCUUCCUUUCCUUUUACUUUUGCAGGAUUUUCUUUUGGCAUUUGCAUGCCUCUUUUUCACAUUACACCUAAUAGUGUAUUGUAGUUAUUUGUCAAUUUGUCUUUUUAUAGCUAAUAGAUUGUAAACUGCAUAUCUUUAUGUCUCCCAUAGUGCUGUAUACAUAGAAAGUACCCCUUAAAUAAAAAAAUAAAAUAAAAUUGCUACCAAGGUGUGGUAGACAUUGGGAAUGUCUUUCCAAUACCUCUUAUCCUCCUCCCCAUUGUGUAGUCACCAUUGGUGUGAGUGGCAUUGGCCUCACUCAAUUCUAGGGGUGGUCCCCAAUGGUGUAAGACACUCCCAACCCACUUGCCAAAGUGAUAGGUUUUUUUGAGCCUGAGCCAAUCGGCACAUGGUCCUGGGGGUCCAAUCAGAAUGAGGCUCAGGACUUAAGCACAAUGAUUAUGGGAAGCGACAGCCCCUCUCCCCCCCAGACUAAUUGUCAAGAAAUUCCAACUGAGUUGUUCAGUUCCAACUGAGCUGCUGUUCACAGGCAUCUUGCACCCAUGAAGAAAGCCAGCCUAGAAAGGAAUCUGGCCCACAAAGGAGGACAGGGCAGAGAGAAUCAGAGAAACAGAGCUGGGGCCCUGGUUAAAGCGUACUGGAAGCCUGCUCUAACAUUCAGCCUUUCAGCCACGUGAACCAAUAAACGCUCUUCAUGGUUUCUCUCUUGCAACCCAAAGCAUCCGACGCAGUGCACCGGGAGUGCAUCAUUGUGGGUUCACACGCGCACGUGUGCAUUUGCAUGUAUGCACACACACAACCUGAAUCUUACUAGGGAGAAGGGAGAAAACACACAUCUCCAAUUCCUGGGGUGGUGGCAACAUCUCAUUUUACCAAACUGCACACUUUAAAGCUUUUCAUAACAGUUACCAAGACAUAGAACUGAUGUCUUUUGAUAAUUUCUCAUUGAUUUCUGUAUUAAAAAUGAUUUUGUAGUUUUAACCUGAAUUCUUAAGAAUAUCUGACUCUAGAAACUAGUAAUAAAUUGUGAAAUUUUUUCCUUUAAAAAAAUUAAUAUACUGUUUGUGGCCCCUUUAAUAGUACUU